rnacentral:rRNA from 1 species
GACGAACUGUCCUAACGUUGUUCGGAAUCACUGGGCUUAAAGGGCGCGUAGGCGGUCCACCAAGUCAGGGGUGAAAUCCUGCAGCUCAACUGCAGAAGUGCCUUUGAUACUGGUGGUCUGGAGGGAGAUAGGGGUGUGUGGAACUCACAGUGGAGCGGUGAAAUGCGUUGAUAUUGUGAGGAACGCCGGAGGCGAAAGCGACGCACUGGAUCUCUUCUGACGCUGAGGCGCGAAAGCUAGGGGAGCAAACGGG